rnacentral:rRNA from 1 species
AUUGAACGCUGGCGGCAGGCCUAACACAUGCAAGUCGAACGAGGGGCGGAGGGGAGAAUAAUGUCUGGGAAACUGCCCGAUGGAGGGGGAUCACUAGUGGAAACGAUAGCUAAUCCCGCAUCCCAUCCGAUGUGCCCAGAUGGGAUUCGCUAGGAGGUGGGGUAACGUCUCACCUAGGCGACGAUCCCUAGCUGGUCUGAGAGGAUGACCAGCCACACUGGAACUGAGACACGGUCCAGACUCCUACGGGAGGCAGCAGUGGGGAAUAUUGCACAAUGGGCGCAAGCCUGAUGCAGCCAUGCCGCGUGUAUGAAGAAGGCCUUCGGGUUGUAAAGUACUUUCAGCGGGGAGGCGUUACCCGCAGAAGAAGCACCGGCUAACUCCGUGCCAGCAGCCGCGGUAAUAC